GCCCCUAUAGCUCAAUUGGCAGAGCAUCUGACUCUUAAUCAGAGGGUUUCUGGUUCAAGUCCAGAUGGGGGCA
rnacentral:tRNA from 1 species